rnacentral:rRNA from 1 species
CCUACGGGUGGCAGCAGUGAGGAAUAUUGGUCAAUGGGCGCGAGCCUGAACCAGCCAAGUAGCGUGAAGGAUGACUGCCCUACGGGUUGUAAACUUCUGUUAUAAAGGAAUAAGGUGACUCACGUGUGCCUUUUUGCAUGUACUUUAUGAAUAAGGACCGGCUAAAUCCUUGCCAGCAGCCGCGGUAAUACGGAAGAUCCGAGCGUUAUCCGGAUUUAUUGGGUUUAAAGGGAGCGUAGGUGGGUUGUUAAGUCAGUUGUGAAAGUUUGCGGCUCAACCGUAAAAUUGCAAUUGAUACUGGCAGUCUUGAGUACAGUUGAGGUAGGCGGAAUUCGUAGUGUAGCGGUGAAAUGCUUAGAUAUCACGAAGAACUCCGAUUGCGAAGGCAGCUUACUAAACUGCCACUGACAUUGAUGCUCGAAAGUGUGGGUAUCAAACAGGAUUAGAUACCCCGGUAGUC